AUGUCGCUGCUCGCCGUCGUCACCAGCCGCGCCGCGGCCGUGCGCCCGCUUCGCGCCUCGGCGGCCUCGGGAGAGGCGGCGGCGGCCGCCGCGGACCAGCCGGCGGAGCGGAGGCCGGUGAAGAUAAUACUGCCCAAGAAGAAGCCGCAGAAGUGGUCCACGGGGAUGGAGCCAGGGUCGUACGGCGGCGGCCCGACCACCAUCAAGCCGCGCAAGUACUGGAUGGGGAAGGAGGACCGCGACCCCAUUGGCAACACCGACGACUUCAUCUGGAACAAGAACUUCCUCCCCCACAUGGAGCGCGUCAUCGCCAACGGCGGCACCGACACGCCCGCCACCAUCCCCCGCGUCACGCCGGCGGACGAGGACUCAGGGUUUCUAAGCAUCAACCGCGCAAUGGACCUUGACAGUGUGGAUGUUGAUCUGAGCAAGGAGCUUAUGGCACCAGCCAAGUCAAUCUUGCAGACGCAGCUCAAGGCUGCCCGCCGUGGUCGAUCCACUAGCGUUGAGGCUGUCAAUAGAUCCACCUUCAUUAGAUGGAAGCUAGCUCCGACUCGACGGGAGCAGGAGCAAUGGGACCGAGCGACCAGGGCAACCACCGGUGGCAUUGAUGUCAUACUAAGGGAGUCGCAGCAGAAAGUGCAGCUGAAAGGGGACCCUAAGGUGGUGGCAGCUGAGGCCAGAGAGCAAUACCUAAAGUUGAAAGAAAGGUUGCAGUUGCUUACUUUAGGUAUUGGUGGCAUCGGGGUGGUUUCUGCUUAUGUUUCAUACACUCCUGAAAUUGCUGCGAGCUUUAGUGCAGGGCUGAUUGGAUCUCUGGUGUAUCUCCGCAUGCUUGGAACCAGUGUGGAUUCUUUAGCGGGUGGAACUAAAGCAGCUGCCAAGGGCGCUGCGGCACAGCCAAGAUUGCUUAUUCCAAUGGUUCUUGUGAUGAUGUACAAUCGAUGGAAUGCGAUACUAGUUCCAGAGUACGGCUUCAUGCACCUGGAGUUGAUACCCAUGCUCGUUGGGUUUUUUACCUACAAGAUUGCUAUGUUUACUCAAGCGAUUCAGGAAUCAAUACCUGAUGUUGGAAACCGCGAAGUUUGA
rnacentral:rRNA from 1 species